GUCCUUAACCACAAGGCUUAAACAAACUCAAGCCUAAAACACACCACCAGCCUAUCCAUCCGGAUAUAACGGAUUUA
rnacentral:rRNA from 1 species